CCUGGCUCAGGAUGAACGCUGGCGGUCUGCUUAACACAUGCAAGUCGAACGCAACCUUCGGGUUGAGUGGCGGACGGGUGAGUAACGCGUGAGAAUCUGCCUUGGGGUCGGGGACAACCACUGGAAACGGUGGCUAAUACCGGAUAAGCCUUUGGGUAAAAGAUUUAUUGCCCCAAGAGGAGCUCGCGUCUGAUUAGCUAGUUGGUGAGGUAAAAGCUCACCAAGGCAGCGAUCAGUAGCUGGUCUGAGAGGACGAUCAGCCACACUGGGACUGAGACACGGCCCAGACUCCUACGGGAGGCAGCAGUGGGGAAUUUUCCGCAAUGGGCGAAAGCCUGACGGAGCAAGACCGCGUGAGGGAGGAAGGCUCUUGGGUUGUAAACCUCUUUUCCCAGGGAAGAAGCUCUGACGGUACCUGAGGAAUCAGCCUCGGCUAACUCCGUGCCAGCAGCCGCGGUAAUACGGAGGAGGCAAGCGUUAUCCGGAAUUAUUGGGCGUAAAGCGUCCGCAGGUGGCGAUUCAAGUCUGCUGUCAAAGCACGGGGCUUAACUCCGUUAAGGCAGUGGAAACUGAAUAGCUAGAGUGCCGUAGGGGUAGAGGGAAUUCCCGGUGUAGCGGUGAAAUGCGUAGAGAUCGGGAAGAACAUCGGUGGCGAAAGCGCUCUACUGGACGGCAACUGACACUCAGGGACGAAAGCUAGGGGAGCGAAUGGGAUUAGAUACCCCAGUAGUCCUAGCUGUAAACGAUGGAUACUAGGUGUAGCUUGUAUCGACCCGAGCUGUGCCGAAGCUAACGCGUUAAGUAUCCCGCCUGGGGAGUACGCACGCAAGUGUGAAACUCAAAGGAAUUGACGGGGGCCCGCACAAGCGGUGGAGUAUGUGGUUUAAUUCGAUGCAACGCGAAGAACCUUACCAGGGCUUGACAUGUCCGGAAUCCCGGUGAAAGCUGGGAGUGCCUUCGGGAGCCGGAACACAGGCGGUGCAUGGCUGUCGUCAGCUCGUGUCGUGAGAUGUUGGGUUAAGUCCCGCAACGAGCGCAACCCUCGUCUUUAGUUGCCAGCAUUAAGUUGGGCACUCUAGAGAGACUGCCGGUGACAAACCGGACGAAGGUGGGGAUGACGUCAAGUCAGCAUGC
rnacentral:rRNA from 1 species